rnacentral:lncRNA from 1 species
CUCGGGAGGCUGAGGCAGGAGAAUCGCUUGAACCCAGGCGGCGGGGGUUGCCGUGAGCAGAGAUCACACCACUGCACUCCAGCCUGGGUAACAGAGUGAGAAUCCAUCUCAGGGAGGGGAAAAAGAAAAAUCCUCUAAUUAAUAACCAAACUUUACAUCUUAAGGAACUAGAAAAAUAAGAACAAACUUUACUAAAAAUUAGAUGAAGAAGAGAGAUAAUGACAGGAAGAAAACAAAAGAAGAGAUAAACAAAAGAGACCAGGAAAACAAUGAAGAGAAUUAACAAAACCAAAAAUUGGUUCUUUGGAAAGGUUGAGAAUAUUGACAAGCCUUUAGCUGGACUGACAAAAACAAAACAACAACAAAAAAAAAAACAGAAAAGAAAAUAAUAAAAGAUGCAAAUAACUAAAAUCAGAAAUAAAAGUGGAGACAUUACUAUCCACCUUACAGAAAUAAAAAGGCUUUUUAGAGAAUACUAUGAACAACAUGCCAACAAACAGUAUGCCAACAAAUUAUAUAACCUACAUGAAGUAUAAUAAUCCCUAGAAACACACAAAUUACUAAAACUGACUCAAGAGGAAAACGAAAAUCUGCACAAACCUAUAACACAACAAGUAAAGAGACUGAAUUAAAAAAAAAAAGAUUAUGUCUCCACCUGUGAAUUCUACCAAAUGUUUAAAGAAGAAAUAACAUCAAGUUUUUUCAAUCUUUUCCAAGAAAAAAAAGAGAAGAGAAGGAAAUGCAUGCUGACUUAUUCUAUGAAUGUAAUAUUGCCCUGAUAUCAAAACUAGACAAAGAUGCCAUUACACACCAAUUAAUGCAGAUGCAAAAAUCCAUAACAAAAUACCAGCAGACAAAAUUCAACAGCUUAUUAAAAGGUUUAUGCACCAUGACCAAGUGGUAUUUACCCCAGGAGUCCAAGGGUGGUUCAAGGAGUCCAAGAGCAAGACUCCGUCUCAAAAAAAAAAAAAAAGAAAAGAAAAAGAAAACCAAUGUAAUGCAACAUUUUGAUAGAACAAAGAAAAAAUAUGUAAUCUCAUACAACCCAGAAAAAGCAUUUGACAAAAUCCAAUACCUUUGAUAAUUUUUUAAAAUACUCAUAAAAUUAGGAAUGGAAGGGAAUUUCCUUAAAUUGAGAAAGAACGCUUAUGAAAACCCCACAGUAAGAAUCACAGAGAAUUAUGAAAGACUGAAAGCUUUCUUCCUAAAAUCAGGAAUAAGGCAAGGGUGUCCACUUUCAUCACUGCCAUUUAAUGUUGCAUGAGAAAUUCUAGCCAGAGCAAUUAGGCAAUAAAAUAAGUAAAUAACUUGAAUAGACAUUUCUCUGAAUAAGAUAUACAAACAGCCAAUAAGCACAUGAAAAGAUGCUCAAUAUCAUUACUUGUUAGGGAAAUGCAAAUAAAAAAACACAAUGAGAUACCACUUCACCCCCACUAGGAUAGUUAUAAUUUUUUUAAAAGGAGAAUAACAAGUGUUGGUGAGCAUUACAUUGCUGGUAGGAGUGUAAAAUGAUGCAGCCAUUAUGGAAAACAGUUUUGCAAUUCCUCAAAAUGUUAAACAUAGAAUUAACAUACAAUCCAGCAAUUCUACUCAUAGGUAUAUACCGAAAAGAAUUGAAAACAGGUACUGAAACGAAUUAUUGAACAGCUUAUUGUAUCAUAACAGCACUAUCCACAUUAACCAAAAGGUGGAAGCAACCAAAAGUUAAUUUUAUGUUAUGUAAAUUUUAUGCCUCUGGGUAAGUGUGUGUGUGUGUGUGCUUGUGUGCAUAUGGAUGUGUGUGUGUGUGUUUCAGAAAAAAAUUUUAAAAGGUUAAGUCUUGUUGUAUAUUUUUUUUCUAAAGACAGGAAAUAUUAAAACUUGGUAAAACUUGGUAAGAAUGCUUUUCAGGCAAAAUGACUCAAAUUUGGCAAAGGUAAUAUUAAUCUGGAUGCUGAAGAAUGCAAAUCAUAGUUAUUUGGAAAAUUCCCCUCAGUGAGGAACCAGUAAGAAACUAGGACAAUUGUCAACAAAUGAUUUCUGUUCUUCAAUCUUCAGUUUGAUCUCUAGGAAACGAAAACACCAGUUAUCCAGGAACAGAUGACAAUUUUCUAAAUGGUAUCUGGUGGUGGGAUUGACAAACCAAGCUAACAUCAAGGACUCCGUGGGUUGUGAUGUAAAGUGGUUAUUUCAGCAUAAAUCUCCAGGUGGAACAACUUGUUUUCUCACCAACAACCUCCUUUGUUUUUAAAUCACAAUACUAAUAAUAGUAAUAGCGUCAAGCACAGCAACCUUUUAUUAACUGUUUUCAGACACAGAUAAGAAACAUUGCAUAUAUUGCAUAACUGAGCACUCUCAACGAGUUGAAAUUACACCCGUUUCACUGAUGGAGAAACUGCUCACAGAGAGGCAGUUUUAAACCAAGAUUUAAUCUCUACAUUCUAAAGAGAAAAUCAAAUUUACCAUCAAGCAUUACAAAUGAGUAUAAUGAGUUUCUUCCAUGAACUCCGCAGAAACACAAGCAAUUGCAUUGCAAUCUGACAUUCCACUCACCCCUGCUUUUCCGAUAUUGUUGAAGGCAAAAACAUCCUUUGUCCUGGAAGUUCACCAUUCAAUUUUAGCCAUCUGCAGCUACUUAAAUUUAAAAUAAUUAAAAUCUAAAAAUAAAAAUUCAGUUCUUCAAUUUCACUACCCAUAUUCAAGUGCUCAACAGUCACAUAUGACUAAUGUCUAUUGUAUUGGUCAGCUUGGCUAUAGGAUAUCUUCAUCAUUACAAAAAGUUUUAGUGGACAGCAUUGUAGAGAAAUCCUAUGCCACCAAAUUUCUGAUGCUAGAUUGACAACCUCGUGGCUCUUCUCUUCUGAUUACCUUCCCACAGUUUAGCAAACAAUGUGUGUGAACAUGCAAGUGUGUCUACAUAUCAUGCUUCAAAGAGCUGAACUAACAAACUGAGCUUGUCCAUAGCGGCUCUGAGCAGGCAUGGCACAAAUACUCCUGGCCCUGAGUUGAUUUAUCUUGAUGUUUGGUUGAAUUCCUCACAUUUUGGUUCUCUUUGGUAACCUUUUCACCCCGUUCUUUUUUAAGGUGGCUGGCUGUUAUAAUUCAUCAUGAACGCAUCUCACUCCAGGCCUGGCUCCCCUGACAGAAGGAACAGCCGGUCUUCAAAAGGCACCUAGAAGAAUUGUACUUCUUGUCCUCUUUUGAGGAUAGGCAUACCUGUGUGCUUUGCUUUGGCCAAUGAAAUAUGAACAGAAGGUACCUGUGUCACUUUGGAACAGAAACUUUAAGAGCCAUGAUCAAUGAUUUCCAUGUUCAUUUCCCACUGCUGUGGUGACUACGAAAGCACUUGUUAAGAUGAACUCUGUAUCAGCCUGGAUCUCUGAGAGACUUCAUGGAGCAGAAAUCCUCCGGCCUAUAUGCGUAGUGUAUGUAGUAUGAGAAAGGAGAAAGAAAGAAACUCAUGUUAAGCCACUGAGAUUUGGAGGGUGGUUCUUACUGCAGCAUAACCCAGCCACUGUGCUUGAUAUACUUGGUAUUACUAAGUUAUAUACUUAAUAUAUACUUGAUGAUAUACUUGGUAUUAUUAAGUAUACUUGGUCUACUUACAGAAUAUUAUGGAUUAUAUUUUCGGAAAGAUUUAUGUUGCAAAUAAACCAGUUAUACCUGCCGGUAUACCAGUACUUCCCCAUAUCUACGGAGUAGCCCUCUUAAGUCACAGAAGUUCAAGAUUUAGAAAGAAAUAAAGAACACUCUGAUUUAUACAACUAAAGCCUCAGGAAGAAAAGGGGUGGAGCUGUCCUCACAGACCACUGUGUCUAGGAACUCAAAUUCUAUUCUCUUUUUUCCUUUACUUCUUCACUCUGCUUCUCUCUGCAUGCUGCCUUCUUGUGUCUUCCUGAACUCUGACUUUCUCCAGGCAAUGAGAAAGUGGCCUAGUGGCCAUAGGUGCUCUAGGCUCAUGCACCAUUAGCUUCAAGAUCCUAGGACCAUGUUUCCCAAAGUGUUUCUCAAAGACCAUCUUGGAUGUGAAUUACAUGUGCAUAUAUUCCAGCUCCUCUCCAAGUUUACCAUACUGAUUCAGAAUUUUUAGUGGUUUGGCCUGGGAAUCUGCAUCUUACCAUGUUUAUCAAGUGAUCCAUAACCAAAGUUGCAUACCUAAUCUAGUAAAGGACCAUGAAAAGCCUGGCAGGAGUGGUGGAGUGACAACAUGGGCAGCCCCACUAGGCUUACAGGGUUACAGGGUUAGGGUGAAGGAGACACAGAGUCCCCAAAGUUGGGAGUCAGGAGAAGGGAUGCAUGAAGCGUAUACACAGCCAUGGAAAGAAAUUGUGAACCCAGAGAGCGCUCCAGUCUGGUUCUCCUAUAAUUGGGAAAAUACUCUGAAACCUAAUCUACCUGAAGACAUAAAGCAGAAAAAAACAAAUCUUCCUCUCCUUUAAAGCCAUUAGCAAGUUUCAACUUCUAAAAAGUGGGCAGGGCACGGUGGCUCAUACCUAUAAUUCCAGCACUUUGGGAGGCCAAGGUGUGCCGAUCACC